ensembl:snRNA U1 U1 spliceosomal RNA
GUACUUACCUGGCAGGUUUACCCAGGCGCAGCCAUUGCGCUCCAGUUUUUGUGUUCACCCCUGCGAAUUCCCCAAAUGUGAAUCUCAACGGCAUAAUUUAUGGUAGUGGGGGAACUGCGUUCACGCUUUCUCCUG